rnacentral:lncRNA from 10 species
AGGAAAAUGGGACCUAAUGAAAAUCUGUGCUCUCUGCAAAAGGCGCAGCCUGCUGGAGGUGGGAGGAGCCUUGGACUGAGACCUUGGGAUGACAGUGAAUUAUUUAGCUUCUCUGAGCCUCAGGCAUUACUCUUAAGGCUGGAAGGCAGACCUGGAGAUAAGCUCUCUUGAAGUAUAUGGACAAAGACUUCGUACCCUAGUGAUGGCAGAGCCUGAAUCCCCAGUACCAUGGAGCUGCCAUACAGAUCCUGGCAAUUAAAC